AGAGAAGUCCCUAUCUUUUUCCCUUUUUCCUUCCUCUCUUUUUCUCUAUUCUGCCCUUUUGCAGUUUAGCCCUUAUUCUUCUUUCUUUUUCUUUUUCCCCCACCUUCUUCUACCUCCAGCUCUCUCUUCUUGAGCUGCAGGCCCGGGGAGGCCAAGCCCCGAGCCCACGUGCUGCCCUCGGCCCGGCAUCCUCCUCUCUGUGUCCCCGGCCCAAGCCGCCGCCGACCGAGCCCGUGCCGCAAGCCCACACGGCCGCCGCAAAAUCCCGCAAGCCGCGCCGCCAAAUUUGGAGCCGCCGCCUUUCCAAAGCUUGCGCCGUGUGCCCUAACCCUAGCUACUCCCUCCUCUAUAAAUACCGCCGGCCACCGCCCCUUUUUCCCCCUUUUUCCAAAGCCGCCGCCGCCGCCGCCGUUGCUCCGUGCCGCCGCCAGGAGCCGCGCCGUCGUCGUCACCGUCUUCCUACCGCACCGCAGCCGCUGACGUUGGAGCGGAAGAGCAGUUUGCUUCAGAAGACGUUGUGCAAGGACAGUACUGGGAUCAAG